AACAGACCUAAGACAGGGAAUUUUUACUCUGAUUAAUUGUCAAAAAUUGUGAAAACCUGGGUUUAAAUGUAUUUGGGUAAAGUGUAUGUAAACGUCUGACUUCAACUGUAUAUAAAUUCUGGAAAUGGAAUUCUAAGCAUCACUCAGAAAAGGCUCUGCGAACGUUUGUUUCCAUUAAUUUGCUAUGGGCUCGCGCUAGCUUAGCCAAUGUCCUUUUGCCAUUUUUCAGCCUUGGAUGAAUUUGGACUUGUUCUAUUGUCCAACCUAGUCUUAUCUCAUGCUUGCAUGGUGAUUGAGUUAGCUAGUGUUACUGUACUAUUUUUCAAUGGUUUCUGACAGUGGCUUUAGUAGGACUUGUGGAGUUGAGGAGGAUGGAUACAAUUUCUGUUAACUAAUGUUACCUACCUAACGUUAGCUUAACUUCAAUUUAAUGUGGCCAAGUUAGUGUAGCUAGCUAGCUAUGUUUCUAACUUUCUUUAUUUCUGUUCUUAAAUGCAGAGUCAAGGCCAGUGAAUGGACAGCUUUGUAAAGAUACCCUGAAUGAGUGGAACCUGGCCUCUUUCAUUACAAAGUUUGAUGUGGAAGAGAUGGAACAUGAAACGCUCUUGCUGUUGGAGGACUCGACUAUAGCCUGAAGUUCAAUGCAAAACACAAGGUGACAUCGCUUUAACACUUCUACCAGUGGUCCUCCCAACACCAGUCUACAAGAUAGGCAGGAAGACAUUCCGACCCAGCUUCAAUGAGAUCAGAACGUCCUUCCUUGAUUUG